AUGAUGCAUAGCCGAGUUGAGAGACUGAUCGGCCACAUUGGGACUGAGACACGGCCCAAACUCCUACGGGAGGCAGCAGUAGGGAAUCUUCCACAAUGGACGCAAGUCUGAUGGAGCAACGCCGCGUGAGUGAAGAAGGUUUUCGGAUCGUAAAGCUCUGUUGUUGGUGAAGAAGGAUAGAGGUAGUAACUGGCCUUUAUUUGACGGUAAUCAACCAGAAAGUCACGGCUAACUACGUGCCAGCAGCCGCGGUAAUACGUAGGUGGCAAGCGUUGUCCGGAUUUAUUGGGCGUAAAGCGAGCGCAGGCGGAAGAAUAAGUCUGAUGUGAAAGCCCUCGGCUUAACCGAGGAACUGCAUCGGAAACUGUUUUUCUUGAGUGCAGAAGAGGAGAGUGGAACUCCAUGUGUAGCGGUGGAAUGCGUAGAUAUAUGGAAGAACACCAGUGGCGAAGGCGGCUCUCUGGUCUGCAACUGACGCUGAGGCUCGAAAGCAUGGGUAGCGAACAGGAUUAGAUACCCUGGUAGUCCAUGCCGUAAACGAUGAGUGCUAAGUGUUGGGAGGUUUCCGCCUCUCAGUGCUGCAGCUAACGCA
rnacentral:rRNA from 1 species